UCUCUUCCUGCCGCGCUCCCUCAGAACUGGCUGAAGAACACUAGCUACUUCUCCAGCUGCGUGCCGCCAUGUUCCCUGUCAUGGGGAUAAAGGGACUAAAUCCCUCUGAAACGGUUCAUCUAUGAAGCAGCUGGCUCCAGAACCUUCUGCCUGCCUAAGGCCGAAUAAUGCUCUGCUUCUGAGUAUGCUGACUUGGGUUGUCUGUUUACCUCACUGCUGGCUGCUGGCUGCUGUCCCCCUGGGAGCUCCCUGCUUGGCUGCUGUGGCUAAUGCUGCCAGGAGGUCAGUUGUCCAAGAAUCUCUCUCUUCAGGCCCUUCUUCCAGUUCCUCAGGCGCCACAUCCAGAAGCAGGAGAAGAACCUUAGGAGCAGUGUCCACUCUGCUCACAGACCCUGUUCAUCAUGGCUCCAAUGACUCUCGAUUUCCAUCUCUGCUGUGUUUCUUAGCCAGCACGGGGCCUGCAACUACAUCUCCUAUCUGGAUGCUGUGUAAGGAGGAAGAAUGGACCCUUGCAAGGACACAGCUACCGCCCAGGGGUGCCUGGCGAGACAGAUUCUGCAAAUGUUUGUCAGCUCAGAGCCAGGUCUAGAAUGUGGCCUCUCUGGAGCUCGCUUGUUGGCUCCCCCAGAUGCAUCAUGGAAGGAGUUCCGCAUGCUCUGAGACAGUUUCUUCCCAGGAGGGGAUCAGCUUACUGGAGCAGCGCUGUUUUCUGUGGACCCUUGUCUAGUUGUGGCGGUUGCUGGGAAAGAUGAAGUCCCCAGACUGGAGCUCAGGCUGCAAAGAGGCUGGCAUGAAGCGAGAUGCCCCUUCUAGGCCAAGGCAAGAUCUGCUGCCCUCUGACUUCUACCUGUUGCUGAGAUGACUUCUGUCGCCAAGGCACCUGGAUACCGAGCCACUCCUUGACAAAAGCCCUCUCCAGCCUGCGUGGACCUCGCGUGAGAGAAGUCUAGGUGGCUGUGGGCAGCCCACAGGCUUCCGUUGCCGCUGCGUUACAGCUUGUCGUCUUAAUCUUGAAAUGAGACCUGGUUCACUUGAUCUCAUUAAUAAAAGGUCUGUGCUCCCCCUAGUCAUAAAAACACGCCACCCUCCUGUUCACUGUCCUCUGAAGGAGCUGUUUUAUUUCAGUGUUUUUAAGGUGGUACUGGAUCCAUAGGCUCACACGGCCCCUACUUUCUUGGUGCUAUCUGAUGAUGUACCUUAAGCCCCCAGAGAAGUCGCUAGGUACCAGCAUUAUGGACUUUGAUGGAGACGUCACCUUAGAUGCUUAUCAGCCUGUAAAGUAAAAUUCCAAUUUUCCUA
rnacentral:lncRNA from 1 species